rnacentral:rRNA from 1 species
GUCUAUGGCCAUGCCACCCUGAAUGUGCCUGAUCUCGUUUGAUCUCAGAACCUAAGCAGGGUCGGGCCUGGUUAGUACUUGGAUGAGAGACCACCUAGGAAGACUGGGUGCUGUAGGCA